rnacentral:tRNA from 1 species
UCCGGCAUGGUGUAGUGGCUAGCAUUUCCGCCUCUCAUUCGAAGCUUCUGAGCUAGAAUCAAGCCGCGGUAGACCGGGGUUCAAUUCCCCGUACCGGAA